UACGGGGGGGGCAAGCGUUGUUCGGAAUUACUGGGCGUAAAGGGCCCGUAGGCGGCCAACUAAGUCAGACGUGAAAUCCCUCGGCUUAACCGGGGAACUGCAUCUGAUACUGGAUGGCUUGAGUUCGGGAGAGGGAUGCGGAAUUCCAGGUGUAGCGGUGAAAUGCGUAGAUAUCUGGAGGAACACCGGUGGCGAAGGCGGCAUCCUGGACCGACACUGACGCUGAGGAGCGAAAGCCAGGGGAGCAAACGGG
rnacentral:rRNA from 1 species